AGGGGGUCCGAACACUUUCCCCGCUGCUGAGUAAUCAAUCCCCUGCCCUCAUGCCCUGUCGCAUCCCAGUCCCCAGAGGUGUUUUUGAACCAAGAAAUGAGCCGCUUGGUCAGCGCCAAGGGCUGCGGAGCUGUCGCAGAUCUGUCUCCACCACAGAAAUUGCCUCCUGUUUUUCAGCUCACUGCUCUCUAUCUGUUGGGCAUGAGCCUAAAUUUCGGAGCUGCUUCUGUCGCAGUGAUGAGGACAGGAGCCGGUUUUGAUGGCACGCUUUUCCAUGGAUUCAGAACCGUGGGGAAUCCGUAGCCAAUAAAUGAACAAUGCACCAGUUGUGGGAAACCAGCCCAGUUCUGGCCACAGUAAAUCUGUGCCUUCGAUAUUGCCAUCCUGCUAUGGGAAUGCUGCAGCAAACGAACCUAACAGCCCCCACAUCUACAGGGCCAUCAUCAGCACUGGAAAACCUCUCAGCACACACUGAUUGCAGCACUGAUGGCAAAUAUCAGGAUGGGUGAACAAGGAUUAGCUCUCACAGUGUUACUGGAUGGGCAGUAUCUCCAGAUAACAAACCUUGUUAGGAAAAGCUCUGCUAAAACCAGAUAAAAAGAACCAACUGUGAUAUUCAAAUGUAAUAGCAUUGAAAAUAUUCUUGUUCUGCAUUUA